GAUGAACGCUGGCUACAGGCUUAACACAUGCAAGUCGAGGGGAAACGACGGGGAAGCUUGCUUCUCCGGGCGUCGACCGGCGCACGGGUGAGUAACGCGUAUCCAACCUGCCUCUGACUGAGGGCUAACCCGUCGAAAGUCGGCCUAAUACUACAUGGCAUCGUCUGCGGGCAUCCAACGACGAUUAAAGAUUUCAUUGGUUAGGGAUGGGGAUGCGUCUGAUUAGCUUGUUGGCGGGGUAACGGCCCACCAAGGCUACGAUCAGUAGGCGUUCUGAGAGGAAGGUCCCCCACAUCGGAACUGCGGCACGGUCCAAACUGCUACGGGAGGCAGCAGUGAGUAAUAUUAGGCAAUGAGCGGGAGCCGGAACCAGCCAAGUAGCGUGCAGGAUGACGGCCAUAUGGGUUGUAAACUGCUUUUAUGCGGGGAUAAAGUGAGGGACGUGUCCUUCAUUGCAGGUACCGCAUGAAUAAGGACCGGCUAAUUCCGUG
rnacentral:rRNA from 1 species